AGAGUUUGAUCCUGGCUCAGAACGAACGCUGGCGGCAGGCCUAACACAUGCAAGUCGAACGGGCCCUUUCGGGGGUCAGUGGCAGACGGGUGAGUAACACGUGGGAACGUGCCCUUCAGUUCGGAAUAACCCAGGGAAACUUGGGCUAAGACCGGAUACGCCCUUACGGGGAAAGAUUUAUCGCUGAAGGAUCGGCCCGCGUCUGAUUAGCUAGUUGGUGAGGUAAUGGCUCACCAAGGCGACGAUCAGUAGCUGGUCUGAGAGGAUGAUCAGCCACACUGGGACUGAGACACGGCCCAGACUCCUACGGGAGGCAGCAGUGGGGAAUAUUGGACAAUGGGCGCAAGCCUGAUCCAGCCAUGCCGCGUGAGUGAUGAAGGCCCUAGGGUUGUAAAGCUCUUUCGGCGGGGACGAUAAUGACGGUACCCGCAGAAGAAGCCCCGGCUAACUUCGUGCCAGCAGCCGCGGUAAUACGAAGGGGGCUAGCGUUGUUCGGAAUCACUGGGCGUAAAGGGCGCGUAGGCGGCCUUGUAAGUCGGGGGUGAAAGCCUGUGGCUCAACCACAGAAUUGCCUUCGAUACUGCAGGGCUUGAGACCGGAAGAGGUGAGUGGAACUGCGAGUGUAGAGGUGAAAUUCGUAGAUAUUCGCAAGAACACCAGUGGCGAAGGCGGCUCACUGGUCCGGUUCUGACGCUGAGGCGCGAAAGCGUGGGGAGCAAACAGGAUUAGAUACCCUAGUAGUCC
rnacentral:rRNA from 1 species